CAAAGUCUGCCGCGUGCGGAGUUUGGUACAAACGGUAAUCCACAGUAUUUAUACGGGAGCAGGUAUUCUCGGCGAUAGGCAAGGUCUGUUAUUGCAACGGAAAGUCUGAUGCGUCAAGAUGCGGCACCCACCUUGCGAGAACGCGGGGUUAACUUUUACCAAGGUGCGGCGAUGGCGGAUUUUUA
rnacentral:other from 1 species